rnacentral:rRNA from 1 species
AGUCGAGCGAACAAGAGAGGUGCUUGCACCUCUUGCGUUAGCGGCGGAUGGGUGAGUAACACGUGGGCAACCUGCCCUGUAGAUUGGGAUAACUCGCGGAAACGCGGGCUAAUACCAAAUAAUCCAUCGUACCUCCUGGUACGAUGUUGAAAGACGGUUUCGGCUGUCACUACAGGAUGGGCCCGCGGCGCAUUAGCUAGUUGGUGGGGUAAUGGCCUACCAAGGCGACGAUGCGUAGCCGACCUGAGAGGGUGAUCGGCCACACUGGGACUGAGACACGGCCCAGACUCCUACGGGAGGCAGCAGUAGGGAAUCUUCCACAAUGGACGAAAGUCUGAUGGAGCAACGCCGCGUGAGUGAAGAAGGAUUUCGGUUCGUAAAACUCUGUUGCGAGGGAAGAACAAGUACGAAGUAACUACUCGUACCUUGACGGUACCUCGUUAGAAAGCCACGGCUAACUACGUGCCAGCAGCCGCGGUAAUACGUAGGUGGCAAGCGUUGUCCGGAAUUAUUGGGCGUAAAGCGCGCGCAGGCGGUCCUUUAAGUCUGAUGUGAAAGCCCACGGCUCAACCGUGGAAGGUCAUUGGAAACUGGAGGACUUGAGUAUA